rnacentral:rRNA from 1 species
AUGGAUGCGCUCUGCAGAAGAAGAGCGGGAGAGAACAUCAACAACAAGCUGCAGCUGGUGAUGAAGAGCGGCAAGUACACGCUCAGCUACAAGACCGUCCUCAAGAAGCUGCGCAGCUCCAAGGGUAUGGAUCUUUUUGUCACUCUUGAUUGA